CCAAUAGCGUAUAUUAAAGUUGUUGCAGUUAAAAAGCUCGUAGUUGAAUUUCGGGGUCAGUAGGUUGGUCAUGCCACUGGUAUGUACUGGUCUCACUGAUUCCUCCUUCCUGAUGAGCCGUAAUGCCAUUAAUUUGGUGUUGCGAGGAAUCUGGACUGUUACUUUGAAAAAAUUAGAGUGUUUAAAGCAGGCUAACGCUUGAAUACAUUAGCAUGGAAUAAUGAAAUAGGACGUUCGAUCUUAUUUUGUUGGUUUCUAAGAUUGACGUAAUGAUUAAUAGGGAUAGUUGGGGGCAUUAGUAUUAAAUUGUCAGAGGUGAAAUUCUUGGAUUUAUUGAAGACUAACUACUGCGAAAGCAUUUGCCAAGGAUGUUUUCAUUAAUCAAGAACGAAAGUUAGGGGAUCGAAGACGAUCAGAUACCGUCGUAGUCUUAACCAUAAACUAUGCCGACUAGGGAUCGGAUGAUGUUAAUUUUUUAAUGACUCAUUCGGCGCCUUACG
rnacentral:rRNA from 1 species